CAGAAGCCACAGGUAGCGAAGUUCAGAGACAGAAAACAUCUCUAAUUGUAUUGAUACUUGUUGAGAAGGUGAUGGUCAAGAUAGUAAAUCAGAAAAAAAAAGAGUAAAUAGACACUACGGAAAGGCCUAAAUUCUUCCAUCAAAUGCUAGGAGUCAACUACAACCGAAACCGGAGAGUAGCCUUUCUCAUUUUGGUCUGGUCACACUCCAGAGGCUCAAUAGCCCCACGUGGCUGUAAGAUAAUUUCAGCCAGGUCUGAGGCCAAGCUGUUCAGACAAGAUUCAGGGCUUCGAGUUCAGACAGCUUCAAGUAGGCCCGAUGACAGGGAAGGCAUCGCUGAUGAUAACCAGACCCUUGACCCAGUUUCUCAGGGAAAAGGCAGAUCUGAGGAGAGUGACAUAGGGCCCUGGACACAUGAAGCCUCCCUAAUCCCAG
rnacentral:lncRNA from 1 species